GUGCGUUUGUCUUCUACUGCACAUUCUCCCCAGUUAUGACGACCUAGACAGGAUUGGUGUGGCUCCUGACCAAGGAUGACAUGCAAAUUUGUGAUGUUCUCCAUAUUUAA
rnacentral:snRNA from 14 species